rnacentral:rRNA from 1 species
AUUGAACGCUGGCGGCAUGCCUUACACAUGCAAGUCGAACGGCAGCACGGGAGCAAUCCUGGUGGCGAGUGGCGAACGGGUGAGUAAUGUAUCGGAACGUGCCCAGUCGUGGGGGAUAACGCAGCGAAAGCUGUGCUAAUACCGCAUACGAUCUAUGGAUGAAAGCGGGGGAUCGCAAGACCUCGCGCGAUUGGAGCGGCGGAUAUCCGAUUAGGUAGUUGGUGGGGUAAAGGCCCACCAAGCCGACGAUCUGUAGCUGGUCUGAGAGGACGACCAGCCACACUGUGACGGAGACACGGCCCGGACUCCUACGGGAGGCAGCAGUGGGGAAUUGUGGACAAUGGGCGCAAGCCUGAUUCAGCAAUGCCGCGUGCAGGAUGAAGGCCUUCGGGUUGUAAACUGCUUUUGUACGGAGCGAAACGGCUUCCACUAAUACUGGGGGCUAAUGACGGUACCGUAAGAAUAAGCACCGGCUAACUACGUGCCAGCAGCCGCGGUAA